rnacentral:rRNA from 1 species
UUGUCGUCAGCUCGUGCCGUGAGGUGUGGGUUAAGUCCCGCAACGAGCGCAACCCUCAUUGUUAGUUACUACCAUUCAGUUGAGGACUCUAAUGAGACUGCCAACGACAAGUUGGAGGAAGGUGGGGAUGACGUCAAAUCAUCAUGCCCUUUAUGACCUGGGCUACAAACGUACUACAAUGGCCAAUACAAAGAGAUGCGAAGCGGUGACGUGGAGCGAACCUCAGAAAGUUGGUCUCAGUUCAGAUUGAAGUCUGCAACUCGACUUCAUGAAGGCGGAAUCGCUAGUAAUCGCGGGUCAGCAGACCGCGGUGAAUACGUUCCCGGGUUUU